rnacentral:rRNA from 1 species
GGGUUGUGAGGUUAAGCGACUAAGCGUACACGGUGGAUGCCCUGGCAGUCAGAGGCGAUGAAGGGCGUGCUAAUCUGCGAUAAGCGCCGGUAAGGUGAUAUGAACCGUUAUAACCGGCGAUACCCGAAUGGGGAAACCCAGUGUGACUCGUCACACUAUCAUUAACUGAAUCCAUAGGUUAAUGAGGCGAACCGGGGGAACUGAAACAUCUAAGUACCCCGAGGAAAAGAAAUCAACCGAGAUUCCCCCAGUAGCGGCGAGCGAACGGGGAGGAGCCCAGAGCCUGAAUCAGCAUGUGUGUUAGUGGAAGCGUCUGGAAAGGCGCGCGAUACAGGGUGACAGCCCCGUACACAAAAGCGCAUGUGCUGUGAGCUCGAUGAGUAGGGCGGGACACGUGGUAUCCUGUCUGAAUAUGGGGGGACCAUCCUCCAAGGCUAAAUACUCCUGACUGACCGAUAGUGAACCAGUACCGUGAGGGAAAGGCGAAAAGAACCCCGGCGAGGGGAGUGAAAAAGAACCUGAAACCGUGUACGUACAAGCAGUGGGAGCACCCUUUGGGUGUGACUGCGUACCUUUUGUAUAAUGGGUCAGCGACUUAUAUUCUGUAGCAAGGUUAACCGAAUAGGGGAGCCGGAGGGAAACCGAGUCUUAACCGGGCGUUAAGUUGCAGGGUAUAGACCCGAAACCCGGUGAUCUAGCCAUGGGCAGGUUGAAGGUUGGGUAACACUAACUGGAGGACCGAACCGACUAAUGUUGAAAAAUUAGCGGAUGACCUGUGGCUGGGGGUGAAAGGCCAAUCAAACCGGGAGAUAGCUGGUUCUCCCCGAAAGCUAUUUAGGUAGCGCCUCGUGAAUUCAUCUCCGGGGGUAGAGCACUGUUUCGGCUAGGGGGCCAUCCCGGCUUACCAACCCGAUGCAAACUGCGAAUACCGGAGAAUGUUAUCACGGGAGACACACGGCGGGUGCUAACGUCCGUCGUGAAGAGGGAAACAACCCAGACCGCCAGCUAAGGUCCCAAAGUCAUGGUUAAGUGGGAAACGAUGUGGGAAGGCCCAGACAGCCAGGAUGUUGGCUUAGAAGCAGCCAUCAUUUAAAGAAAGCGUAAUAGCUCACUGGUCGAGUCGGCCUGCGCGGAAGAUGUAACGGGGCUAAACCAUGCACCGAAGCUGCGGCAGCGACACUGUGUGUUGUUGGGUAGGGGAGCGUUCUGUAAGCCUGCGAAGGUGGCCUGUGAGGGUUGCUGGAGGUAUCAGAAGUGCGAAUGCUGACAUAAGUAACGAUAAAGCGGGUGAAAAGCCCGCUCGCCGGAAGACCAAGGGUUCCUGUCCAACGUUAAUCGGGCAGGGUGAGUCGACCCCUAAGGCGAGGCCGAAAGGCGUAGUCGAUGGGAAACGGGUUAAUAUUCCCGUACUUGGUGUUACUGCGAAGGGGGACGGAGAAGGCUAUGUUGGCCGGGCGACGGUUGUCCCGGUUUAAGCGUGUAGGUGUGUGUUCCAGGUAAAUCCGGUUCACUUUAACACUGAGGCGUGACGACGAGGCACUACGGUGCUGAAGCAACAAAUGCCCUGCUUCCAGGAAAAGCCUCUAAGCAUCAGGUAACAUCAAAUCGUACCCCAAACCGACACAGGUGGUCAGGUAGAGAAUACCAAGGCGCUUGAGAGAACUCGGGUGAAGGAACUAGGCAAAAUGGUGCCGUAACUUCGGGAGAAGGCACGCUGACACGUAGGUGAAGUGAUUUACUCAUGGAGCUGAAGUCAGUCGAAGAUACCAGCUGGCUGCAACUGUUUAUUAAAAACACAGCACUGUGCAAACACGAAAGUGGACGUAUACGGUGUGACGCCUGCCCGGUGCCGGAAGGUUAAUUGAUGGGGUCAGCGCAAGCGAAGCUCCUGAUCGAAGCCCCGGUAAACGGCGGCCGUAACUAUAACGGUCCUAAGGUAGCGAAAUUCCUUGUCGGGUAAGUUCCGACCUGCACGAAUGGCGUAAUGAUGGCCAGGCUGUCUCCACCCGAGACUCAGUGAAAUUGAACUCGCUGUGAAGAUGCAGUGUACCCGCGGCAAGACGGAAAGACCCCGUGAACCUUUACUAUAGCUUGACACUGAACAUUGAGCCUUGAUGUGUAGGAUAGGUGGGAGGCUUUGAAGUGUGGACGCCAGUCUGCAUGGAGCCGACCUUGAAAUACCACCCUUUAAUGUUUGAUGUUCUAACGUGGACCCGUUACCCGGGUUGCGGACAGUGUCUGGUGGGUAGUUUGACUGGGGCGGUCUCCUCCUAAAGAGUAACGGAGGAGCACGAAGGUUGGCUAAUCCUGGUCGGACAUCAGGAGGUUAGUGCAAUGGCAUAAGCCAGCUUGACUGCGAGCGUGACGGCGCGAGCAGGUGCGAAAGCAGGUCAUAGUGAUCCGGUGGUUCUGAAUGGAAGGGCCAUCGCUCAACGGAUAAAAGGUACUCCGGGGAUAACAGGCUGAUACCGCCCAAGAGUUCAUAUCGACGGCGGUGUUUGGCACCUCGAUGUCGGCUCAUCACAUCCUGGGGCUGAAGUAGGUCCCAAGGGUAUGGCUGUUCGCCAUUUAAAGUGGUACGCGAGCUGGGUUUAGAACGUCGUGAGACAGUUCGGUCCCUAUCUGCCGUGGGCGCUGGAGAACUGAGGGGGGCUGCUCCUAGUACGAGAGGACCGGAGUGGACGCAUCACUGGUGUUCGGGUUGUCAUGCCAAUGGCACUGCCCGGUAGCUAAAUGCGGAAGAGAUAAGUGCUGAAAGCAUCUAAGCACGAAACUUGCCCCGAGAUGAGUUCUCCCUGAGACUUAGAGUCUCCUGAAGGAACGUUGAAGACGACGACGUUGAUAGGCCGGGUGUGUAAGCGCAGCGAUGCGUUGAGCUAACCGGUACUAAUGAACCGUGAGGCUUAACCUUACAACGCCGAAG